ACGUGUCAGAAAGAUGAUAAGCGAAAUCAUGCUCUAUCUAUUGGCAAGAAAGAAACCUAUCUGAGAUUUUUUUUUUUUUUUAAGGAGACAGAUUAUAACUAGCGCUUAACUCGAUAGAAGAAGGAUCCUUUUUUUGCCUACUCCCAAAUCUUAGUAGUUGAAUGCUGUCCCUAUUUCUGAGCGACUCUUUAUUUUAUCUCUGCCCAAACUCUGGUCAAAUUCUGAACUAGAUUGGGAUAAGUAAAGGAUCACAGAGAAGAUAAUGAAUAUAGUUAUCUGUUUUUGGUGAGAGCAGUUGUCAGCAUAGAUUCCAAAAGAAGGCUCGAAUCAGAGUCCAGGA
rnacentral:lncRNA from 1 species